CUAAAGGAGCUCACUUAGACAAAUCUUUUGGGCAUUUCAAAUCUUUGUCCCAAACAGAAAAAUCGAAAUUUUCUAGCUGUAAAAUUUUGAGGCAACCCUACACUCACUAACAAUAAGAUUUAAUGGGCAUUAAUUUUCCUCACAUUUGUAUCUUAAGCACUAUUUAUCUAACUACAAACAAUACGUUUAACUUAUAUACUAAACUACACACUAACAAACAAAUAUUUUUUAUAGCUUCUUUUUUUCUUUUGGUCAAAUUCGGAUUAAUUGAUGAAUUUCAUAUUUUUAUUCUUUUUUCAGUGGUGUUUCCGUCAAAGGAAAAGGAACUUCAUAUGACUUUUUUCAGCGGGAUUUGGCUUUCUUUCUUUUCUUUGAUUUUUAGGUGGGAUCUACUGGUUAGCUUCCCGGAUUGGUACUAUUGCCUGUUCCAAGGGCUAUCCACUGGCAGUUUCCCAGGUCUUUUGGCCGUUUCCAGAACCUUUUCGUUGCCUGGAACCCCUGUGCCGCACCUGGCGAUACAAAAAUAAUUGUUGGGGAUGCCCGCUUCUUUUUCGUCCAAGUCGGAUGGCGUUGUCCAAUUGUGGAUUUAUGCGCGGCGUUAUUCCUAAAUAGAACACAAAAACUUAACACAACACAUCCGACAUAACACCACUUACAAAUCAACACUUACAAAUUGUUUAGAUACGCCACACAAAUAAAACAAUAAAACACACAAAUUGUAACUGCCAA